GGUGUUGGCCGCACUGCCCAAGCAAAGAACCACCAUUCAAAUGGACAGGGCCACUGGCCAGCGAAAUCUGCAAACCUCAUUCUGGACUUGCUCAAGAAUGCUGAGAGCAACUCCGAUGUGAAAGGUUUGGAUGUGGACAAACUGUUUGUUUCUCACAUCCAGGUGAAUCAAGCCUAGAAGCAGAGGCGCUGAAUGUACCAUGCUCAUGAAAGGAUUACCCCCUGAUACUCAGUUGGCUCCAAGGAAACCCAAGAAAGCUCAAGCGCUUCGCAGUGGUGCUUUGUCUUAAGUGGGGGCCAUAGGUAGAAGGCAGCCCUGAAAUGUUUGAAAAUUUUGGCUUCAUUUUAUGUUUUUCCUCAUUUCCGUAGUCAUGCAAUUGAGAACUUGGUGGUGUUUUGCUUGCCAGAAGUUUUGAUAUUUUAACUCUUGAGGUUUUUUUUUUUGAAUAACAAGAAAAAAAAAACAAAAAAUUCUAA